AGGGUUGUGGCUCAGUGGUAGAGUACUCACCUCGCAUGUGUGCAGCCCUGGGUUUGAUCCUCAGCACCACAU
rfam:Ictidomys tridecemlineatus contig063659, whole genome shotgun sequence.